UGUAACGGAUCACCUGGCACCCCGACUGGGUACCUCCGUUGAAGGAUGCUCCUAGCACUUCCUGAGGACUCCAAGCACUGCAGCAGACACCAAAACCACCGAACCGUAGGAGCAUAUGAAUCCUCUCAAGCAUAUGAAUGCUGUAGACAGUUGAAUAGGAAACCAUACGAAUAGGUUUACACUCCUAGCAGUCAAACUGGAACAGCAUACAAUAAAUCCUCCCCCAAGAAUGAGACGACACUUCACUUUGAGGGUUAAGCAGGAACUCCCUGUACUGUCACAUACAGUCUCUUUUAUUCCCAAUCCACAAACAUAGUACAGCCCACAGGGCGUUACAAA